GGUAGGACUACCCGCUGAACUUAAGCAUAUCAAUAAGCGGAGGAAAAGAAACUAACAAGGAUUCCCCUAGUAACUGCGAGUGAAGCGGGAAAAGCUCAAAUUUAAAAUCUGGCGGUCUUGCGGCCGUCCGAGUUGUAAUCUGGAGAAGCGUCUAUCCGCGUCGGACCGUGUACAA
rnacentral:rRNA from 1 species